rnacentral:misc_RNA from 1 species
CGACGGUGCAGGAUCAACCAGGUAGCAUUCCUAACCGACGCCGGUGUUGCACGAGGUCGACAACCCCGGGGGAUGCAGCAGUCCUUGAGGCGACGACGGCAGUCGUUCGGUGCGGGCGAUUGACGCGUCGCUUGGCUGCGACUCGGAACACGAACUCGCCUUCGCGGUUCACCCACGCCGUACCCACACAAGGGGAGCCACAGCGCCGGGAGAACGUCGGUCGUUAUGUCGUCCGAAUUCCUUCCGGUAGGUAUGCAAUACAGGAAACCCGCGGGCGGCCAAGGCCGGUGACGUUGCUCUUAGGCCAACGACUGAAGAGGAAUGCAAGGGAGGACGUCACCACUCCAGCGAGGAUCCAACACCCCCAUUACAA